rnacentral:rRNA from 1 species
UGCAGUCGAGCGGAUGAAGGGAGCUUGCUCCUGGAUUCAGCGGCGGACGGGUGAGUAAUGCCUAGGAAUCUGCCUGGUAGUGGGGGAUAACGUCCGGAAACGGGCGCUAAUACCGCAUACGUCCUGAGGGAGAAAGUGGGGGAUCUUCGGACCUCACGCUAUCAGAUGAGCCUAGGUCGGAUUAGCUAGUUGGUGGGGUAAAGGCCUACCAAGGCGACGAUCCGUAACUGGUCUGAGAGGAUGAUCAGUCACACUGGAACUGAGACACGGUCCAGACUCCUACGGGAGGCAGCAGUGGGGAAUAUUGGACAAUGGGCGAAAGCCUGAUCCAGCCAUGCCGCGUGUGUGAAGAAGGUCUUCGGAUUGUAAAGCACUUUAAGUUGGGAGGAAGGGCAGUAAGUUAAUACCUUGCUGUUUUGACGUUACCAACAGAAUAAGCACCGGCUAACUUCGUGCCAGCAGCCGCGGUAAUACGAAGGGUGCAAGCGUUAAUCGGAAUUACUGGGCGUAAAGCGCGCGUAGGUGGUUCAGCAAGUUGGAUGUGAAAUCCCCGGGCUCAACCUGGGAACUGCAUCCAAAACUACUGAGCUAGAGUACGGUAGAGGGUGGUGGAAUUUCCUGUGUAGCGGUGAAAUGCGUAGAUAUAGGAAGGAACACCAGUGGCGAAGGCGACCACCUGGACUGAUACUGACACUGAGGUGCGAAAGCGUGGGGAGCAAACAGGAUUAGAUACCCUGAUAGUCCACGCCGUAAACGAUGUCGA